GAUGAAGAACGUAGCGAAAUGCGAUAAGUAAUGUGAAUUGCAGAAUCCAGUGAAUCAUCGAAUCUUUGAACGCACAUUGCGCCCGCCAGCAUUCUGGCGGGCAUGCCUGUUCGAGCGUCAUUUCAACCCUCGACCUCCCCUCGGGGAGGUCGGCGUUGGGGACCGGCAGCACACCGCCGGCCCUGAAAUGGAGUGGCGGCCCGUCUGCGGCGACCUCUGCGUAGUAAUACAGCUCGCACCGGAACCCCGACGCGGCCACGCCGUAAAACACCCAACUUCUGAACGUUGACCUCGAAUCAGGUAGGACUACCCGCUGAACUUAAGCAUAUCAAUAAGCGGAGGA
rnacentral:misc_RNA from 1 species